UUCUGAGGGCCUCCUUAAUGUGAUGGUGAGUUUGGUGGCAACCAGCCUCUUGUCUGCAUCUGUCUUUAAUUUGCCAACUUCAGUUCUUCCUAGCAGUGUCCUAUGUGAAGAGAUGAAGCAGAAAUCUUCAAAUCAGCCAUUGGGAAGGCUGGAGAAUGAAGGAAUGAGAAGAGGAAACAAUUAAAUGGAGAACUUGAAAAGAGAAACAUAAUGCAACCUUUCUCAUAGUAUCAGACUCUGGGAAUAUCUAGUAAAACUAAUUGACAGAACAAUCCUUGGAAAUUCUCCGCCACAACAUGAGAUGAUGGCCAUUACAUUAAAUGACUUUAAAAGAACUAGGCAAAUUAUGCACAGAGGACUAUCAAUGACUACUUCUCAUACUGCUUGUAUAUUUCCAGGAUCAGGAAGUAGAUAAAGACUAUUGCUAUUAUAUUUUCCUACCUCUGGGGUUUCCAUCCUGAAGAAAUGGAUGAUUCACUGUGUCACUUAUUUAAUUAAUUGAAAGUGAUGAUGGCAAGGAGGAUGUCCCAUGAGAUCAUUUGGCUAAGGACACUGUCUCUUGUCAAAAAAAUAAAAUAAAUAGAGAUUUCACUUUGAAA